CCAUGCAACUUCAUCACAGAUAAUCCAUUUACAAGCCUGCUGCUUUGUUCUUGUUCACAUUCAACUAUUAACAGAGGUGACUGAUCUGCUCUUCUUUGGAGUCAACGGCUAGCAAUUGAGUGUCAAACUUCAAGGCAAGAAUGAAUAGUGAUGAUGAAGACUUAUGAGAUAGACUACAAUUUUGUACCAUUGACUAGUAACUUGAGCAGACAGGUUGAUCAACAUUCUGCAACGUCGCCUCAUCUGAUCGCCUUUCAAGAAAAGCAAGUUCUCCAUUAUGCCUUUCAUGGUCGUGCAUUUUUUUGUUAGUUUGUGUUUGCACCUUACUCUUUAUUUUAAUACAUCGUAUCUCACAUGCUACCAACCUAUCCAAGACUUCAACUUUGUCUACUGUUUGAGUGUCAAAUUUAUCCACAAUAUCAUCAGCUGGAUAAAUGAUAACUAAGCAUUUUGAAAAACAUAGCAUGACUGCAUUUCUUUUUUUUGAGGAUGUUGAUUUUUAGAAAAAAACAUGACAAUUUACUGCCAAAAUUAUGAAUUGAAUCAGGAUAAAUUAAAGAAACCAACUUCAUCAAUAUGCGUACUCCAAAGUGAGUUUUGUAUAUAGCUAGAACCUGCUCGUUGGAAUAUAGAUGUUAUCUUAUUGGAUAUGACAUUUUGUUUUAAAAUAGAUUUGCCUUUUGGAUUUAGUGCAGCCAGGGUAUUAGUCAUUUCUUACAUUUGUUGUUGUAGAUUAACAAUUUGUUCCAUAAACAUAUAUUGCCAAUCCGCUUGUUGAUUAUUUUGACUAUUCAUUUUUUUUAAGAGAAAGGACGAAUCGCCCGACAACGUAAAUUUCUGAUGCCAAAUUAAUGCAAUCUAAAAAUAACUAAGUUAGACAAAAGGCUUCCUUCCAUAAACAUUAACAAAUAAAAACUUAGAAUGCUACCUGAUGCGGACAUCGGCACGAAGAUCUGACGCAUCUAUCACAGGAGGCGUCGUAAAU